GUCAAGUCAUCAUGGCCCUUAUGCCCAGGGCUACACACGUGCUACAAUGGCCGGUACAAAGGGCUGCGAACCCGCGAGGGGGAGCGAAUCCCAAAAAGCCGGCCCAAGUUCGGAUCGCAGUCUGCAACUCGACUGCGUGAAGCCGGAAUCGCUAGUAAUCGCGGAUCAGCUACGCCGCGGUGAAUACGUUCCCGGGCCUU
rnacentral:rRNA from 1 species